CCUACGGGAGGCAGCAGUGAGGAAUAUUGGUCAAUGGCCGGAAGGCUGAACCAGCCAUGCCGCGUGAAGGUCAGUGCCCUAUGGGCGUUAAACUUCUUUUGUGCGGGAGCAAUAAUGGUCACGUGUGGCCAGACGAGAGUACCGUACGAAUAAGCAUCGGCUAACUCCGUGCCAGCAGCCGCGGUAAUACGGGGGAUGCAAGCGUUAUCCGGAUUUAUUGGGUUUAAAGGGUGCGUAGGCUGUGAGGUAAGUCAGCGGUGAAAUGCCCCCGCUCAACGGGGUGAAGUCCCAUUGAUACUGCCUGGCUGGAAUGCGGAUGCCGUGGGAGGAAUGUGUGGUGUAGCGGUGAAAUGCAUAGAUAUCACACAGAACACCGAUUGCGAAGGCAUCUCACGAAUCCGCGAUUGACGCUGAUGCACGAAAGCGUGGGUAUCAAACAGGAUUAGAUACCCGUGUAGUC
rnacentral:rRNA from 1 species